GGAGAGGUGGCAGAGCGGUUUAAUGCACCGGUCUUGAAAACCGGAGUAUCCGAAAGGGUACCGUGAGUUCAAAUCUCACCCUCUCCG
rnacentral:tRNA from 1 species